GAUGCCCUUCCGAUGGCGAUGCAGAUCGAGGCGAAGCGGCCGAUCGAUAGGGAUCCUCUCAGACGUUCCAGGCAGAGGCGAUUCGUCGCAGCUGAUGUGGCAGGUCAAGGCGAAGCGUCGCUGCGACCGCCGCUGUCGAUUGAAGUCUCUCCGGCCUCCGCUGAAAUUAAUGGAGGUUAAAUAAAUUACUGAAAAAGCUUUGCAAAUCAUUAACAACUAGGCUUGACGCCAAAAGGGUAGGAUCCUUCACAAAAUAUCUCCUACUGGUUAGUGAGGUGAAGGAUGUGUUGUACUCUGAAGAAAUCGUCUUGGGGUCAACCACAUGCCAGACUCUGAUUGACGUUCAAAGUGGAGGACCUCCAGAACUAGGCCCAGCAAUUUGAAAGUUGAAACCUAAGACCUCACUUCACCGAAAACAGCUUCAGCCCGGAGGAAGGCUGCGGGAUCAUCAGAAAUCCAAACGCAGUUAACAACUAACUCGACUCCAGUCGAUGAUGACAAUGUGAUAAACUACUACACCCUCAUGAAGGAAGUGUGACAGAAUCAUAACCAGGGACAUCCAGUUGGCAUCGCAAUCCAUUUUGCAAGCCAAAAAUAGCAGCUUAUGUGUGCUCAACUAUAAUACUGAGGUUGGUGUGCUGUUAUAUGAAUGUCUACUACCUUAAUAGAGUUUGUGAGAGUUUAUAACGUCUUGACAUUGUAUAAUCCUUAAUGGUUGUAAAGAGUUGUGUGUACUCAGAAA